AUGAGGGGUCUGUUGGGGGAGGAAGGCCGACAGCCGGGGUAGAAGAUUGGGUUGGAUAGGGGGAUGCGAUCUGGCACACAGAGCCUGGCACAGAAACCUCAACAGAUGGCUGCUGAGCAGCAAGGCUGCAGGGAAGCUCUCAGACUACUUUCGACAAAGAAAAGUGAGAACGGACAGAGGGAAAAGGACAUCAAGUCAGCGUCGCCAUAAGUUGUGAUGUGAAACACUGAGAGAUGAAGUCAAAGCAUCAGCGCUACACCUCCACUGCUUCUCUGCGAACAUAAUUCCCCGAGAGUUAUGUCUACCUUCUCUGACUGAAGUGGUUCAACUUCUCCAUCAACAGACAAUGAGCCCAACCAAAGCCCAACAAAGCGAGUCUUGUUCUCCUCAUGAGGUUUUACUCUACAUUGUAGUGGAAACUGCCUGAACACCGGGCAGUGUGUUCAGGCAGUGUUUAGCCUGAACACCGGGCAGUGUUCAGGCUAAAUGACCAUUAAAGGUCAUUUAGCGCACAUUAUUAUUUCUGAUAAGCCCUCGUUGAACUUCUGAUGGCAAUAAGUAUGCAAUAAAUACA